GACGAACGCUGGCGGCGUGCUUAACACAUGCAAGUCGAGCGGUAAGGCCCUUUCGGGGGUACACGAGCGGCGAACGGGUGAGUAACACGUGGGUGACCUGCCCUCAGCUCUGGGAUAAGCCUGGGAAACUGGGUCUAAUACUGGAUAUGACUCCACGGUGCAUGUCGUGGGGUGGAAAGCCUUGUGCGGCUGAGGAUGGGCCCGCGGCCUAUCAGCUUGUUGGUGGGGUGANGGCCUACCAAGGCGACGACGGGUAGCCGGCCUGAGAGGGCGACCGGCCACACUGGGACUGAGACACGGCCCAGACUCCUACGGGAGGCAGCAGUGGGGAAUCUUGCGCAAUGGGCGAAAGCCUGACGCAGCGACGCCGCGUGAGGGAUGACGGCCUCGGUGUAA
rnacentral:rRNA from 1 species